rnacentral:rRNA from 1 species
ACGGAAGGCAGCAGUGGGGAAUAUUGGACAAUGGGGGAAACCCUGAUCCAGCGACGCCGCGUGAGUGAAGAAGUAUUUCGGUAUGUAAAGCUCUAUCAGCAGGGAAGAUAAUGACGGUACCUGACUAAGAAGCCCCGGCUAACUACGUGCCAGCAGCCGCGGUAAUACGUAGGGGGCAAGCGUUAUCCGGAUUUACUGGGUGUAAAGGGAGCGUAGACGGCAUGGCAAGUCUGAUGUGAAAACCCGGGGCUCAACCCCGGGACUGCAUUGGAAACUGUCAGGCUAGAGUGCAGGAGAGGUAAGUGGAAUUCCUAGUGUAGCGGUGAAAUGCGUAGAUAUUAGGAGGAACACCAGUGGCGAAGGCGGCUUACUGGACUGUAACUGACGUUGAGGCUCGAAAGCGUGGGGAGCAACCAGGAUUAGAUACCCUGGUA